AAAAAAGCAGGGGCAUGUUGCCUGUGUGAGCAGGCCUCUCGUAACCUUCAGGAAUAUAAUAACAUUGUUAUUGGGUGAACCUCUGUUCUCAUUUUGUGACUAAAGGUUCAGUAAACGAUGGAACACAU
rfam:Vigna angularis cultivar Jingnong 6 scaffold16_95, whole genome shotgun sequence.